rnacentral:rRNA from 1 species
AUUGAACGCUGGCGGCAUGCUUUACACAUGCAAGUCGAACGGUAACAGGCCGCAAGGUGCUGACGAGUGGCGAACGGGUGAGUAAUGCAUCGGAACGUGCCCAGUCGUGGGGGAUAACGCAGCGAAAGCUGCGCUAAUACCGCAUACGAUCUAUGGAUGAAAGCGGGGGACCGAAAGGCCUCGCGCGAUUGGAGCGGCCGAUGUCAGAUUAGGUAGUUGGUGGGGUAAAGGCUCACCAAGCCAACGAUCUGUAGCUGGUCUGAGAGGACGACCAGCCACACGGGGACUGAGAAACGGCCCAGACUCCUACGGGAGGCGGCAGUGGGGAAUUUUGGACAAUGGGCGCAAGCCUGAUCCAGCAAUGCCGCGUGCAGGAAGAAGGCCUUCGGGUUGUAAACUGCUUUUGUACGGAACGAAACGGUCCGGGUUAAUACCCUGGGCUAAUGACGGUACCGUAAGAAUAAGCACCGGCUAACUACGUGCCAGCCGCCGCGGUAAAAC